UCGAAGCUAGAGCUCUGUAAAUGAAGCUUUUGAAGCUGAUUGACAUGAGUGAUGCUCAUGAAUGUUUAUGUUGAUUGACAUGAGUGAUGCUUAUGGAUGUUGUCAUGAGUGAUGCUCACGCAUGUUAACAUGAGUGAUGUUCAUGAAUGUUCAUAUGAAUGAUGGUCAUGAAUGUUUAUGUAUGAUUGUCAUGAGUGAUGCUCAUGAAUGUUUAUGUAUGAAUGACAUGAGUAAUGCUCAUGUACAAUUUGGAGUACUGAGCAUACUUUUGAUCACCUGGUUGGUGGCAUGAAGAAGAGUACGGGUUGUACAUUUCAUCACCUGGUUGGUGGCAUGAAUGGCUAGUUGCCAAAUGAUAUUAGAGUACGGGUUGUACAUUUCAUCACCUGAUUGGUGGUAAUAGUGGCAGGUUGCCGAAUAAUUUUGGAGUACUGGGCGUACUUUUGAUCACCUGGUUGGUGGUAAUA
rnacentral:lncRNA from 1 species